CAUAGGGCUUCACCCUAUGCUGUAUUAUGUCGCCACUUCGUGGCU
rfam:Chryseobacterium formosense strain LMG 24722 contig03, whole genome shotgun sequence.